rnacentral:lncRNA from 1 species
UAAUCUUAAUUUAUUUAUAUGUGCACUAAAUUAUUUUAUAUCAUUAAAAAAUUAAUUAACUUGAAAUACCUCUAGCUUCAGUUUUAAUGUGUUUUGUUGUGAACGUUGCUGGUCAGUGCUGGUUGAUGUCUGUGUUUUAGAUCAUGUUCCUCUCAGACUGAGUGGAGGUAAGGGCCGGUGCGUCUGGGAGGCUGGAGGUGUAUCAUAACGCUGUGUGGGGCUCAGUCUGUGAUGAUCAGUGGGAUAUCAGCGAUGCUCAGGUGGUCUGCAGGCAGCUGGGUUGUGGAUCAGCACUGAGGGCUGAUGGGAAUUCAGUCUUUGGUGCUGGUGAAGGUGUUGUGUGGAUGAACAGAGUCGAGUGCAGAGGGAAUGAGAUUCACCUGUGGGACUGUCCUCUCUCCCUGAAAAACCACACUGACUGCUCCCACAAAGAGCACGCUGGACUCACCUGUGCAGAUUUGACAGAUUUGUCAGUGUCCACUACUUCUGCCACAACAGCAUCAGUUUCUCCUCCAGUUUCUCCUUCAGUGCGCUCAACAUCAGUCUCUCCUCCACAAACUCCUCCAGCAGUGUCUCUCUCGUCCCCCCAGUGCUUGUGAUUGUUCUGGGAGUUGUGCUCUUACUGCUCUUAGUGCCACUGCUUAUACUGAUUCAGCAGAACAGAGUGAUGAGGAGAGGUAGGAGAGAUCCAGAGACUGUCAUAUUGUGUCUUAUUCAGUGUGUGAUCAGUCAUGUGUUGUGAACUGAUAGCAGGUUUAUCUGUCUACACUCACAGCUCUCUCUAAGAGGAGACACAGGACGAUGUCUGAGGCCGUUUAUGAGGAGAUUCAACACAGACACGAUCACUUCAUUCAGAGGGGUGAGUAAGUGUCAUAAUGUCUGAUUUGUGGAGAUCAACAGACUCAUCACUUUAUUCGGAGGGAUGACUGCAAUAAAUCAUACUGUGUGUGUGUGUGUGUGUGUGUGUGUGUGUGUGUGUGUGUGUGUGUGUGUGUGUGUGUGUGUGUGUAGAAAAAAAUAAGAAUUGUCAUAAAAUAAUAUAUUAGUAUAUACAGUAGUAGUGUGUGUAUAUAUGUACACAAGUAUUUAUAUUUUUUAAUGAAUACUUUUCAGCUAGGAUGCAUUAAAUGUACAGUAAAAACUGUUACAUAAGAUCUAUUUUAAAUAAAUGGUAUCUUUUGAACUUUCUAUUCAUCAAAAAAUCCUAGGGGGAAAAUGGCAGUCUCAACUAAAAUAAACUAAACUAAAAUAAUUUUUUAAAUAAUAAAAAAAAUAAAAAUAAAAUAAUUUUUGAAAGAUCAUGUGACAAUAAAGACUGGAGUAAUGAUGCUGAAAAUUCAGUUUUGCCAUCACAUCACAUAUAUUAAAAAAUAAACAGUUAUUCUGAAUAUUACAAAUAUUCCACAAUAUUACUGCUUUUUGUUUUCCAGCCUUGGUGAGCAUAAGAAUUUGUAUUAUUAUUUA